rnacentral:rRNA from 1 species
AGUUUGAUCCUGGCUCAGGAUGAACGCUAGCGGCAGGCUUAAUACAUGCAAGUCGUGGGGCAGCAGGUUUGUAGCAAUACAGAUGCUGGCGACCGGCAAACGGGUGCGGAACACGUACAGAACCUUCCUUUGAGCGGGGAAUUAGCCCAGAAGAAAUUUGGAUUAAUACCCCAUAGUAUAAUGAAGUGGCAUCACUUUAUUAUUAAAGAUUUAUCACUCGAAGAUGGCUGUGCGGCUGAUUAGGUAGUUGGCGGGGUAAAGGCCCACCAAGCCUGCGAUCAGUAACUGGUGUGAGAGCACGACCAGUCACACGGGCACUGCGACACGGGCCCGACUCCUACGGGAGGCAGCAGUAAGGAAUAUUGGUCAAUGGAGGCAACUCUGAACCAGCCAUGCCGCGUGGAGGAUGAAGGUCCUCUGGAUUGUAAACUUCUUUAUAUGGGACGAAAAAAGGCUUUCUAAGUCGUCUGACGGUACCAUAUGAAUAAGCACCGGCUAACUCCGUG